CCUACGGGAGGCAGCAGUCGAGAAUCAUUCACAAUGGGGGAAACCCUGAUGGUGCGACGCCGCGUGGGGGAAUGAAGGUCUUCGGAUUGUAAACCCCUGUCAUGUGGGAGCAAAUUAAAAAGAUAGUACCACAAGAGGAAGAGACGGCUAACUCUGUGACAGCAGCCGCGGUAAUACAGAGGUCUCAAGCGCUGUUCGGAAUCACUGGGCGUAAAGCGUGCGUAGGCUGUUUCGUAAGUCGUGUGUGAAAGGCGCGGGCUCAACCCGCGGACGGCACAUGAUACUGCGAGACUAGAGUAAGGGAGGGGGAACCGGAAUUCUCGGUGUAGCAGUGAAAUGCGUAGAUAUCGAGAGGAACACUCGUGGCGAAGGCGGGUUCCUGGACAUUAACUGACGCUGAGGCACGAAGGCCAGGGGAGCGAAAGGGAUUAGAUACCCCAGUAGUC
rnacentral:rRNA from 1 species